GUCUUUUUGAUUAAUAAUUUAAAGUCUAAUCUGCCCACUGAUAAUAUAUUAAAGGGCUGCAGUAUUUUGACUGUACAAAGGUAGCAUAAUCAAUAGUCUCUUAAUUGGUGACUUGUAUGAAGGAUUUAAUGAGAUAUAUACUGUCUCUUUUUAAUUUAUAAAAUUUAAUUUUUUAGUUAAAAAGCUAAAAUAAAUUUAAAAGACGAGAAGACCCUAUAGAGUUUAAUAUUUAAUUAAAUUAGAAUUAUUUAUAAAAUUUAAAGUUUUAAUUUAUAAUAAAUAUUUUGUUGGGGUGAUAAAAAAAUUAAAAGAACUUUUUUUAUAGAUUUACAUUGAUAAGUGAAUAAAUGAUCCGUAAUUUACGAUUAAAAGAAAAAAUUACCUUAGGGAUAACAGCGUAAUUUUUUUUUUUAGUUCAAAUAAGAAAAAAAGUUUGCGACCUCGAUGUUGGAUUAAGAUAAAAUUUAAAUGCAAAAGUUUAAAAUUUUUGAUCUGUUCGAUCAUUAAAAUCUUACA
rnacentral:rRNA from 1 species